UUCCUACGGGGGGCAGCAGUGAGGAAUAUUGGUCAAUGGGCGGAAGCCUGAACCAGCCAAGUCGCGUGAGGGAUUAAGGCCCUAUGGGUCGUAAACCUCUUUUGUCAGGGAGCAAUGGCGUCCACGUGUGGGCGUAUGGAGAGUACCUGAAGAAAAAGCAUCGGCUAACUCCGUGCCAGCAGCCGCGGUAAUACGGAGGAUGCGAGCGUUAUCCGGAUUUAUUGGGUGUAAAGGGCGUGUAGGCGGGAAUGCCAGUCAGAUGUGAAAACUAUGGGCUCAACCCAUAGCCUGCAUUUGAAACUGUA
rnacentral:rRNA from 1 species